rnacentral:miRNA from 1 species
GGGUUGUUGUCUGGUUCAAGG